rnacentral:rRNA from 1 species
GACGAACGCUGGCGGCGUGCCUAAUACAUGCAAGUCGAGCGAAUCAUUAGGAGCUUGCUCCUGAUGGUUAGCGGCGGACGGGUGAGUAACACGUGGGCAACCUGCCUAUAAGACUGGGAUAACUUCGGGAAACCGGAGCUAAUACCGGAUAAUCCUUUUCCACACAUGUGGGAAAGCUGAAAGACGGUUUCGGCUGUCACUUAUAGAUGGGCCCGCGGCGCAUUAGCUAGUUGGGGAGGUAAUGGCUCACCAAGGCGACGAUGCGUAGCCGACCUGAGAGGGUGAUCGGCCACACUGGGACUGAGACACGGCCCAGACUCCUACGGGAGGCAGCAGUAGGGAAUCUUCCGCAAUGGACGAAAGUCUGACGGAGCAACGCCGCGUGAACGAUGAAGGCCUUCGGGUCGUAAAGUUCUGUUGUUAGGGAAGAACAAGUAUCGGAGUAACUGCCGGUACCUUGACGGUACCUAACCAGAAAGCCACGGCUAACUACGUGCCAGCAGCCGCGGUAA